CAGCCGCCACGGUAAUACGAGGGGGGCAAGCGUUGUUCGGAAUUAUUGGGCGUAAAGGGCGCGUAGGCGGUUUGACAAGUCUGAUGCGAAAUCUCUGGGCUCAACCCAGAGUCUGCAUCGGAAACUGUCGAGCUUGAGUAUGGGAGAGGUGAGUGGAAUUUCCGGUGUAGCGGUGAAAUGCGUAGAUAUCGGAAGGAACACCUGUGGCGAAAGCGGCUCACUGGACCAUUACUGACGCUGAGGUGCGAAAGCGUGGGGAGCAAACAGGAUUAGAUACCCCAGUAGUCCCUGUCUCUUAUAC
rnacentral:rRNA from 1 species